rnacentral:rRNA from 1 species
CCUACGGGGGGCAGCAGUAGGGAAUCUUCGGCAAUGGGGGGAACCCUGACCGAGCAACGCCGCGUGAGUGAAGAAGGUUUUCGGAUCGUAAAGCUCUGUUGUAAGAGAAGAACGAGUGUGAGAGUGGAAAGUUCACACUGUGACGGUAUCUUACCAGAAAGGGACGGCUAACUACGUGCCAGCAGCCGCGGUAAUACGUAGGUCCCGAGCGUUGUCCGGAUUUAUUGGGCGUAAAGCGAGCGCAGGCGGUUAGAUAAGUCUGAAGUUAAAGGCUGUGGCUUAACCAUAGUACGCUUUGGAAACUGUUUAACUUGAGUGCAAGAGGGGAGAGUGGAAUUCCAUGUGUAGCGGUGAAAUGCGUAGAUAUAUGGAGGAACACCGGUGGCGAAAGCGGCUCUCUGGCUUGUAACUGACGCUGAGGCACGAAAGCGUGGGGAGCAAAUAGGAUUAGAUACCCCAGUAGUC